UAAAAGUGGUAAGUAUUUCCGCCUGUCACGCGGAUGACCCGGGUUCGAUCCCCGGCAACGGCGCCA
rnacentral:tRNA from 1 species